rnacentral:rRNA from 1 species
GAUGAACGCUGGCGGCGUGCCUAAUACAUGCAAGUCGAGCGAACGGACGAGAAGCUUGCUUCUCUGAUGUUAGCGGCGGACGGGUGAGCAACACGUGGAUAACCUACCUAUAAGACUGGGAUAACUUCGGGAAACCGUAGCUAAUACCGGAUAAUAUUUUGAACCGCAUGGUUCAAAAGUGAAAGGCGGUCUUGCUGUCACUUAUAGAUGGAUCCGCGCUGCAUUAGCUAGUUGGUAAGGUAACGGCUUACCAAGGCAACGAUGCAUAGCCGACCUGAGAGGGUGAUCGGCCACACUGGAACUGAGACACGGUCCAGACUCCUACGGGAGGCAGCAGUAGGGAAUCUUCCGCAAUGGGCGAAAGCCUGACGGAGCAACGCCGCGUGAGUGAUGAAGGUCUUCGGAUCGUAAAACUCUGUUAUUAGGGAAGAACAUAUGUGUAAGUAACUGUGCACAUCUUGACGGUACCUAAUCAGAAAGCCACGGCUAACUACGUG